CUUGCUAGGAGUAGUAGUAGUAAAAGAAAAUGGUGGGAAAAACAUCGAAAAUGGGUUUCAGUACCAGUGCACAGUGUUCGGGAGGAUAAAGAGAGACUCAAGAGAGAGUGAAAAUGGAAAGAGGGUUGGAAACCGGAGAAAACAUGAAAGAGAGAGUAGAAGAAGAAGAAGAGGAGCAGAUUUGCAGGAUUUGUCAUAGCCCCGGUGAUUCUGAAAACCCAACUUCAGUAUCCUUGUGCGUGUUCUGGGAGUAUGAAAUUUGUUCACCCAAAAUGUCUCCUCCAAUGGAUGAAACAACGGAUCACUUCUGAUUGCGAGGUGUGUAAACAUAAAUAUUCCGUAUAUCGUUUUUAUGCUGAGAAUACUCCAACAAGACCUCUCAGAGAAUUUGUGGGUGGGAUUGCAACAAAAGCAUGCAUUCCUGUGUGCGGUUUUGUUUUUCAGUUUCUCAGCAACUCCUUAUGGCACCUUUAAUUGCCAUAUGGCGUUUGAGUUCAGUAAGGAGCCUUUCUGAAGCAAUAGAAUUUGUUCAUAGUCAUAUGUCUCCUUCAACAUCUAUGAAGGACUGGUUGUAUGGCUUUAUGAUCAGAUGAUGCGGAGGAUGGGGCUAAUGUUGCAAUAGCCCCGGCACCAGGAAGGACAGUUCGAGACCUGGAGACAUUGGUGGGGCAGGACAAUGUGCAAGUGGAAAGGUAGCAGGACGAAAUGCAUGAUGCUCUCUUUUUUGCUCAAGAUCCAAAAGAAAAUACUUUCAUAUUCAAUUCCGAUGGUGUUGAAAACUGCGCAACUGAUCCGAGUGUAACGGGUAAGUGAUUUCAACCGUGUAAUCUUUGUUUAUGAGUUUGGUACCAGAAGGAAAUUUUUACUUUUAUUCAUAAUCACCUGUGGAAUACUUUCUGUCAAAAGAUAUUCAUGGUGAAAUAUCUUACGUGUUCAGUAAUUGCUUUUGAAAUGUUAAAUUUGGUGAUACAUGAGAUAUUUUUCACGCACAUGGUACUGUAUCUUGUCUUCUGCACCAAAUUUAAGCUUAAAAUCUUCUACUGGAUCUCUCAACUAUUUGCAGCUUUACUUUUGUACUUUGUGUUGUGUUGUUGGUCGUUCUGGCGUGGAUAAUCGUAUCCCUACCACUAGGACGUGUACUGCUCAGUUCCAUUUCUAAUCUCCCAAUAACUCAUAGCAUCAAGUGCAACGAUCUCUAUGCCUCCUUUAUCGAAAUUUUCCAUCUGGACAUCUUUCACUGGAGCAAGAUACUUCAUCGAGCACUUAAAAGCAGGGAAAACACAUUUCCGAUUCAGCAAUAACUGCAAGUUGUUUCAUAUUAUCGUCCGGAGUUGUGUUCCAUUAUACCUUUGUAUUUGGGACUGAUGCAAUAGAUAUUUUUCUGUUUCUUUCACAGCGUUCUAUUUAAUAUCUGAAUUCUAAUGUAGUACUUGUCUUUUGGUUACAGAUCAUUGUUAUACCAGUUUUGAUCGGGCUUUUGUUUGAGUUUUCGAGAAUUGGUGGUUGAAGCCCCAGUUUUACUGUUGUCUCAGGCUUCGGCAGUGGGUCCUUCCUCUUUAAGCUGUGGAGGAUGCUGGUUGUGCUGAACCAUCGGAUUGUUCUGGUGGAUGAAAGCUGGCGGAUUUAGUUGGAGAGGGUGAGAGAUAAUGAUUUCUUGAAGUUUCCAGGGCGUUGGGUGCUGCAGGAAAUAUUGAUCCCUAUCGUUAUGAAUCCGUUAAUGUCUCUGUUGCAAGAUGGAUAGUUCCCUCGCUUGGGUUUCCGCUAACUGUCUUUCGGCUUACUUGGGUAGGGUAUGUGCGUGACCAAAAUUGUACUGUUCUCCUGUGCCAAAGGAUUUCCUGUUUGGAUCACCAACCUUCACAAUUCUAUCCGAGAUGACCAUUAUUCUGGUUCGGGUCAGCAAAAUUUUGGUGAAGCAGCAUUGGAGUGCGGAAAAGAGAUUGGUAAGUUGGUGAGAUGCUAACAGAGUCUCAAGGACGCUAAUGUGUUAGAUACGCAUAGUUUUAAUGUCAUCAAGGAAGUAUCAUAACAAUCAAAGGCGAGCUGUUUUGCUGUUUUGUU